UACGAAGGGGGCUAGCGUUGUUCGGAAUUACUGGGCGUAAAGCGCACGUAGGCGGAUACUUAAGUCAGGGGUGAAAUCCCGGGGCUCAACCCCGGAACUGCCUUUGAUACUGGGUAUCUCGAGUCCGGAAGAGGUGAGUGGAAUUCCGAGUGUAGAGGUGAAAUUCGUAGAUAUUCGGAGGAACACCAGUGGCGAAGGCGGCUCACUGGUCCGGUACUGACGCUGAGGCGCGAAAGCGUGGGGAGCGAACGGG
rnacentral:rRNA from 1 species